GACGUAGGGGGCCAGCGUUGUUCGGAAUUACUGGGCGUAAAGCGCGCGUAGGCGGGUUGGUAAGUCCGCUGUGAAAGCCCGGAGCUCAACUCCGGAGGGUCGGUGGAUACUGCCAGUCUUGAAGGUGCUAGGGGGAGAUGGAAUUACCGGUGUAGCGGUGAAAUGCGUAGAUAUCGGUAGGAACACCAGUGGCGAAGGCGGUCUCCUGGGGCAUUCUUGACGCUGAGGCGCGAAAGCUGGGGGAGCGAACGGG
rnacentral:rRNA from 1 species